GAUAUCAUAUCUUUUUGAUAAGACGAAAAGAAGGAAGAGAAAUGGCUAUGAAAAGUGUAAUAAUAGAUGCACAACAAAUAAUAAUGUUUCUUAUUAUUGGAGUAGCUAUUUGUUUUGUUUUUGCUGAGUCUCAUGAAAUUAUUCCUAGUAAAGAGCCUUCACCUCCAUCUUAUUAUACUAAACAGUUUCCUAGACAGAAUCCCGGAGAGUAUGGAACCAAGCCAACUUUAAAAAACUGUAUCAACAAAUGCAUAGAACUACAAUGGCCGCAUCCAGAAGAUAAGUCCAUAAGUAGAAUGCGAUCGAUGAAGGAGUGCGCUGAAAAUUGCUUGAAGAGUUUCAUAUCUACGAUACUUUAAAAAUGGUUGCUAGAAUUGAUGAAAUUUAAAUAAAUACUUUAAUGUAAUGUUUUCUUUACCGUUGUUACUUUCAUGUCUCGGGCUUCAAGUCUAUUGGCUCAGUUAUGCAUUCUAUAAGACAAUAUAUAGUUGCUACCAAAAUUAUCAACAAAUAUAAUAAAAUGGCACAUCUUAGUGCCUCUAAGUAUAGGAAAAGUUUUAAGUAUACUAAGAACAUCGAUAUUUCAGUUAUUUUAA